UCCUUGGUCAUUUAGAGGAAGUAAAAGUCGUAACAAGGUUUCCGUAGGUGAACCUGCGGAAGGAUCCAUUAAAAUAAACAUUUACCACAUUGUUUUUGAUAACCAACAACAACCUAAUAUUUUUUAUUCAACUUUUUAAAAAUCAAAACUUUCAACAACGGAUCUCUUGGUUCUCGCAUCGAUGAAGAACGCAGCGAAUUGCGAUACGUAGUAUGACUUGCAGACGUGAAUCAUUGAAUCUUUGAACGCACAUUGCGCCUCGAGGUAUCCUCGAGGCAUGCCUGUUUGAGCGUCGGCUUACUUCAAACCUCUGGUUUGGUUUUGCCCAGAAAUAUUACUGCCGUGUAUCUAAGCUUACAUCGCAUUUUCUAAUUCGCCCUCAAAUCAGUAGUCA
rnacentral:rRNA from 1 species